CAUAGAGAUGGAACACAAGUUCUCAGUAGCAUCCCGACUCUCAUGUGGGUCAUCUGCCCUUUGCUGCUGUUUCUUCCUACUCUCCUGAGGAUGUGAGAUGCAAAGAAGGGGACGAAGUGAGUGGAGGGACAUCGCUCACCAAUCUACACCAAUGAAGGGAAAAUGGGGAAACCAUGAACCUAAAUGAGAGGCAAGCUUUCUUAGCUAAGUGAACGGAGAAAGGUCCUCCUAACGAAUGAGGACGCCCUGGGUAAUCUUAGCUCUGUUCCUUCCAGCAAGUCUAUUUUCCGCAAGAUGGGCUUUAUUCUGAGAGCCAUUAAUAAUUUGAUGGCUAACAACUUCUGCCAAGAUCACAUGAUACCCCCACACUUCUCAGAUGUUUGAGAAUUUUAAAGAAACGCCUGCCUUAAAAAAUGUAAAAGAUAUUGUCUUCCAUCACAAUAUAAGGUGUGUUUUCCCCUAGAUUUUGUCAUUACUUCUUCCAAGAGAAAACAACACUUUCAUUUGUAAUAUUUUAAGAUUAUAUUCUUCAAUAAAAUGUCUGAGGGUGAAGUCACAAA